UGCAGGUACUCCACCUGCCCGUGGGGAUUAGCUCCCAGCGCUGGCAGAGAGCUCUCCCAGCGCUGCAGGUACUCCACCUCCCCGUGGGGAUUAGCUCCCAGCGCUGGCAGAGAGCUCUCCCAGCGCUGCAGGUACUCCACCUCCCCGUGGGGAUUAGCUCCCAGCACUGGCAGAGAGCUCUCCCAGCGCUGCAGGUACUCCACCUCCCCGUGGGGAUUAGCUCCCAGCGCUGGCAGAGAGCUCUCCCAGCGCUGCAGGUACUCCACCUCCCCGUGGGGAUUAGCUCCCAGCGCUGGCAGAGAGCUCUCCCAGCGCUGCAGGUACUCCACCUCCCCGUGGGGAUUAGCUCCCAGCGCUGGCAGAGAGC